GACUCUCGGCAACGGAUAUCUCGGCUCACGCAUCGAUGAAGAACGUAGCAAAAUGCGAUACUUGGUGUGAAUUGCAGAAUCCCGUGAACCAUCGAGUUUUUGAACGCAAGUUGCGCCCAAAUCCUUUCGGCUGAGGGCACGUCUGCCUGGGCGUCACAC
rnacentral:rRNA from 1 species